CCUACGGGGGGCAGCAGUGAGGAAUAUUGGUCAAUGGACGAGAGUCUGAACCAGCCAAGUAGCGUGAAGGAUGACUGCCCUAUGGGUUGUAAACUUCUUUUAUAUGGGAAUAAAAUGUUCCACGUGUGGGAUUUUGUAUGUACCAUAAGAAUAAGGAUCGGCUAACUCCGUGCCAGCAGCCGCGGUAAUACGGAGGAGCCGAGCGUUAUCCGGAUUUAUUGGGUUUAAAGGGGGCGUAGGUGGAUUGUUAAGUCAGUUGUGAAAGUUUGCGGCUCAACCGUAAAAUUGCAGUUGAAACUGGCAGUCUUGAGUGCGGGAGAGGUAGGCGGAAUUCGUGGUGUAGCGGUGAAAUGCAUAGAUAUCACGAAGAACUCCGAUUGCGAAGGCAGUUCACUGGACUGCAACUGACACUGAGGCUCGAAAGUGUGGGUAUCGAACAGGAUUAGAUACCCGAGUAGUC
rnacentral:rRNA from 1 species